AGAAAAUGGUCUUCUGAGAGAUAGAGACUCACAAUCAUUGUUUUUAAGAAGAAGACAGGAAAGAGCAGCAGUGAGGUUCUGGGGCUAAGCAGAGAGCUUCUCAGUGCUGGGGCACGGCACGUUGCUCAGAUCAGCUUUCCCGGUGAGAGUAACAGAACGCGGAAGGAACUCUAAGAAGCCUAUUUAAAAAUGACUGACUAGCGGAUGUGAUAGAGAGCGAUUAUCAGGGUAGACCAUAAGCCUGUAACACAGAGGGGGUGGCCAAGCACAGCCCAGCUUUCGUCCCAAGGAUGCCAGCUAAACCAAGGAAAGGUGAACUGGAAUUUCAUGAUCUCUUAAAGUUUGGAGACAUGGGAAUGUGGGGGCUUCAACAGGAAGUCCUGCUCUCCUAAAGCCGGGAUCAGAAAAGGCCACACUCUCAGCAGAAGAGUAAAACCCCACCCUGAAACACAGGAUGGAUCCACGUGCUCCGGAUAAAAGGGAAGGUCGAAAAGCUAACAGAGUUCGGAUACAAAACAGAACAAAGACGAAACAAAAAGCUGCAGCCGAACCCUACCUGCUGCUCCAUGUUGAAAUCUGCCUCCUCAAGUCGGGAGCGAGACCAGAAGGAACACCCGAGACUCCGACAUCAGCGUCAGCUGCAGGGGCUCCCGGAAGGACAAGCCUGUCCCUGGAUGCUCAUAAGCAGAGUGGCUACAGUGCAGCAAGGAAACCUUCCAGCAAACACUGCACUUGGCACAGCCGCAGGUCACGUCCCUGCCCACCAGGACCUCUCUGUGAUAAGGGCCAACGAUGUUUCCAUUCCUGUUCAUGAAAUCACUUGGCGAUGAGUGAAAUCUGUGUGCGUUGUAACAACAAAUGACUGCAACAGAAAAUCACCAGAUUUCCAUCAUAACUCAAAUGCCAGCCAGGCUUGGUGGAUGGGCUCCUCGCUGAAAUCUCCAUAGCUGCAUAAUCAUUAGCAGUGAGAACAGUCACCUACACGUGAAAGAAUGACUAGAGGAAAACAAUUCACUCCACUUAAGCAAAGUGAUGCUCCCUUUGGCUAAUCUAAAUACCUUGGGGUUUUGCUAGGUCUUCUCCUUCCUCUCUUCUUCGAGUAGAUGAUGGAACUUUGAAAGCCAGCGUGGGAGAGCAUUACAUGGCUGGAUGAAAACUCUGCUGGGUUUACAGUGAGCUGGCUCAUUAUUCAGUGAAACCUCCAUCCUUAUUCAGCCUUGAAUAUUUAAAUCCAUACAGAUCGGAACUGUACUCCGGAGCCUGGGAACACCGUGCAAUGCGCUCUAAAUCCCUGCUUUCAUGCGCAUGAAAGACCCGUCAUUUUUACCCCUCCUACCAGCCUAAUUGACCGCAUUUCCGUGAACACUCGCUUGCUGGUUCCUAGCAAUGAAGACUGUGGGGUCCUUUCUUUCCAAGGUUGUGCUGGAAAGUGGAGAAGGUAAAGGGGAAAGCAACAGGCAGGCAAGGGGAAUCCGGGAGAAGGGACUCAUCUGCAGCAGUCAUGCCUCUCAUGGAAUCACAGGCCAGGCUAUGAGGAAGAAACGCGGGCUUUGCUCUCGGUCACCUAAUGACGCUUUGUCAUUUUUAAAGGGCAUUGCACUGUGAUUGCCAUGGAUACAUGAAAAGAUAAUGUGCUAUUUUUAGCAUGAAGCAUAAAAUAAAAUCCAAAGUUGGGCAAUAUGACCCUCACGCCUCCAGAGAGCCUCAUUAAAAUGAGAUGUUUCCCUUCAGAGGUGAACUCAGUAAGUAACGUUUAAAUUUCUUAAUCAGGCCACACAGAGUUCCCAAAUAAAAAAUAGUUCUGAAAACAAAUCCUUCUGUCAGAGCCCGGGGCUUGCACCAUGGCAGCAAAAUCCUUCUGACUUAAAGUGGAGGGAGGAGGUGGUCUCUGAAUGAAAGACAUUUCAAAUUUUCAGUGUUCUAAUUGAGGAAUAAAAUGGUAUAUAUUCAGCUAGAAAGUAACCAUUGGAUCAAAUUAUACAGUCUUUUGAGUAAGCCAAUGUCAGCUUAAUAAUAUUUUAGCAUAUAAUAAAGUCGUGUGUAUCAAUUCUCAUUUUGAACCCAGGUUGAAUGUUACUGCUUCAAACAGUAAAUAAAAACUGAGAUUCUGAGAAUAAGGCCAGCUUUGAAUUAGUCAAAAUUGUUUUUAUUACUAGCAAACAGGCAAACCUGUGAUAAAACAGCAUUCAUUUUCCCCAUGCUAUUUCAAUAUCCUAUGUAAUUUUUCACUGUUGAAAGCACUCCCAGAGUACCCUCAUGAAUAAUCCCUGAAACCCCAAAUAAAUAAAAACCGUUCUCUGA
rnacentral:lncRNA from 1 species